GCCGCUGGAGACAUUCUAGCCUCUCUUCUUGUUGGUGGUUCUUUUCCCAGCGUCCCGCGCGCGGCGGCAGCGGCAGUUCCAUUCCGUGACCUUCGCCAACGGCCCGUGUGUCACUGGCUCCAAGAUGUUACAAUAUUUUACUAAGACGUGGCGCAACAUGAGGAUUUACUACACUACGGUUUACCAGGAAAUAUGGGUUGGGUUGGCCGUAACCUCCUAUGCCUAUUACAAACUUUCCUUUGGUCGUAAAAAAGCAGUGGCAAACAAAUCUUCUGUUUCUGGCCAUCAUUAAAUGGCUCUUCAUUGAGUAUGCAUUCCAUGACUUGUCAUCUCUGCUGUAAAUGAAGCAAGCUACCAUCACAGGGAAGUUAAUUGGACCGCAUAAGCAUUGUACAAUUCUACAACUGUAUAUAAUCCACUGUACUACAUAGGAGGAAUAAAUGUGUUGAGCAAGAA